CACGUAGGGGGCAAGCGUUGUCCGGAUUUAUUGGGCGUAAAGAGCUCGUAGGUGGUUCGGUAAGUCGGGUGUUAAACCCCCAGGCUCAACCUGGGGACGCCACUCGAUACUGCUGUGACUAGAGUCCGGUAGGGGAGCGUGGAAUUCCUGGUGUAGCGGUGAAAUGCGCAGAUAUCAGGAGGAACACCAGCGGCGAAGGCGGCGCUCUGGGACGGUACUGACGCUGAGGAGCGAAAGCGUGGGUAGCAAACAGG
rnacentral:rRNA from 1 species